UACGUAGGGUGCGAGCGUUGUCCGGAAUUAUUGGGCGUAAAGGGCUCGUAGGCGGUUUGUCGCGUCGGGAGUGAAAACUCAGGGCUUAACCCUGAGCCUGCUUCCGAUACGGGCAGACUAGAGGUAUGCAGGGGAGAACGGAAUUCCUGGUGUAGCGGUGAAAUGCGCAGAUAUCAGGAGGAACAUCGAUGGCGAAGGCAGGUCUCUGGGCAUUAACUGACGCUGAGGAGCGAAAGCAUGGGGAGCGAACAGG
rnacentral:rRNA from 1 species